GAUUACGGGCGGUGUGUACGAUGAAGGCCUUCGGGUUGUAAAGUUCUUUCGCGCAAGAACAAGAAAGUACAUCAAACAGAUGUGUAAUUUGAGGGUACUGCGUAAAGAAGCACCGGCUAACUCCGUGCCAGCAGCUGCGGUAAUACGGAGGGUGCAAGCAUUAAUCGGAUUUAUUGGGCGUAAAGGGCGCGUAGGCGGGAGGACAAGUCAGAUGUGAAAUUCCGAAGCUCAACUUCGGAGCGGCAUUUGAAACUGUCCACCUAGAGGGAUGACGGAGAAAAUGGAAUUCCACGUGUAGCGGUGAAAUGCGUAGAUAUGUGGAAGAACACCGGUGGCGAAAGCGGUUUUCUAGUUAUUUCCUGACGCUGAGGCGCGAGAGCAAGGGGAGCAAACAGGAUUAGAUACCCUGGUAGUCCUUGCCGUAAACGAUGUAUACUUGAUGUAGAUGGGCUCAACCCUGUCUGUGUCGAAGCUAACGCGAUAAGUAUACCGC
rnacentral:rRNA from 1 species